rnacentral:rRNA from 1 species
UUGAGUACAGAAGAGGAGAGUGGAAUUCCACGUGUAGCGGUGAAAUGCGUAGAUAUGUGGAGGAACACCAGUGGCGAAGGCGACUCUCUGGUCUGUAACUGACGCUGAGGCGCGAAAGCGUGGGGAGCAAACAGGAUUAGAUACCCUGGUAGUCCACGCCGUAAACGAUGAGUGCUAGGUGUUAGGGGUUUCGAUGCCCUUAGUGCCGAAGUUAACACAUUAAGCACUCCGCCUGGGGAGUACGGCCGCAAGGCUGAA